UACGUAGGGUGCGAGCGUUAAUCGGAAUUACUGGGCGUAAAGGGUGCGCAGGUGGUCGGGUGUGUCAGAUGUGAAAUCCCGGAGCUUAACUCCGGAACUGCGUCUGAAACUGCACGACUUGAGCAUUGGAGAGGGUAGUGGAAUUCACGGUGUAGCAGUGAAAUGCGUAGAUAUCGUGAGGAACACCAGAGGCGAAGGCGACUACCUGGACAAUUGCUGACACUCAGACACGAAAGUAUGGGGAGCAAAAGGG
rnacentral:rRNA from 1 species